UAACUGGGGACAUUUCCAAGCUAUCCACAUACAUAUCUAGAACCUUAGGGAGUGAAUGCAUCUGGGGGUUCUGGGGUGCAGCCAAGUGAGGGAACCCUUGAGCUAGCACUCAGACUGCACAAGGCCUCCCAGGUGGAUGGCUCCCUAGGCCCAUGCAACCCAGACCAGCCACCUUAAUCCCAUAACACUAGUUGUCACCAGUUCCACCAAGUUUUCCUAAAAUCCCUCCUGUGCACAGAGCUCCACUGAUUUCGUGCUGAGGAAUUACAGUACUAUGCCCUAGAGGAGGUCCGACCAACACAGAGUGUAUCCCACAGGAGAUGAAUAGCAGGGUCAGGUGUCACAGUCGCAUCACAGGGAAGCACAGGCUACCUACCGGAGAGGAAGAUCUCUCUCAUUGUAAGCCUGAGAGCUUGGGGAAGCCAUGUGCAAGUGGUGAGACUGUGUCUGGGGCAGGAUUUAGCUAGGGCAGAGAGAGCAAGUAGGAGCACUACUCCAUUGGUACAGAAUGGGCACAGUAGGGAGGACAGCAGGAGGCAGAUAAUUUAACUGAAAGGAGAAAAGUCACAUGAGUGAGCAGCUGGGGGUGAGGCUGAAGAGUUAUUCUGUAGACAGGGAGUGGGAGACCUUGAACUGCAGGUUCAGCAGUCUGAGCUUCUGCCAGUUCCUAGAGGUUGGGUUUCCUUUGCUGCUCUCUCACUGGCUAAUGUCCCUAUUAUUUCAACUCCAUGCAGCUCAAAGGACAAAGACAAUUGGGUCUGAGGCUACAUGUAGAAACAAUGGAACACUCCAGCCCCAUCUGGGAGAGCAAGUGGUGAAGGGCCAGAUGAUCAGAGCUCCACCAAGGAUCCCCCUGCCCCAGAGUCCUCCCCAUCUUUGGCCUCUGCUAAUGGGAUGGGCCUGGAGUCUCCAGCUUGCUCAACUAGCAAAGGAAGCUAAGUCACAGUUCAAGGUUUUCAUGGGUCAUUUACCUGACAGAGGAGUAGAGUCCACACUUCCAAAAAUAAGCAAUAGGUUGUUUUUGAUUAAAAAUCAGGCCACAGAAAACCUUUGCCCCAGUCCCACAGACCUGUAUGUCUUGGCUCUGGUCUGGAUAACAAACCCUUUCCCAUUCCAAAAGCAGGUGAAAGGUUGGGUCCAAAGAGCAGGAUCUCAAGCACUCUGGUUGCCCUGAC
rnacentral:lncRNA from 1 species